rnacentral:lncRNA from 1 species
UAUGUUCAAAGACUCAAGAGGAAACGGACAGGGAUGAAAUGUUUGCACUUGUUUCAUCUGGAGAAAAGCUCCAAGCCACCACCCUCUGCAGUCACACAGUCACACUAUGGGUAGGCUCCUCACCUUCUCUAGUUCGUGUCAUGUUUUAGUUACUAGAAUAUCUAUGGCGUGGGCCAUGUGGGCUUGUCCACACUUAGACUUUACCUUUCAAUGAAUCCCCAGAUCCAACCCUGAAAUAUACCCGUGUUAGGGGAAGGGGGGUGGGUUUUCUUUUCUUUCUUUCUUUCUUUUUUUUUUGAGAUGGAGUUUCAUUCUUGUUGCCCAGGCUGGAGUGCAAUGGCGUGAUCUCAGCUCACUGCAAUCUCCACCUCCCGGGUUCAAGUGAUUAUCCUGCCUCAGCCUCCUGCAUAGCUGGGAUUACAGGUGCCCGCCACCAUGCCCCGCUAAUUUUUUAAAAUAUUUUUUGCAGAGAUGGGGUUUCACCAUGUUGGCCAGGAUGAUUUCUAACUCCUGAUCUCAAGUGAUCCUCAAGUGGUCCGCCUGC